rnacentral:tRNA from 1 species
UCUGAAAUAGCUAAGUUGGUAGAGUGUCAGACUGCAAAUCGAAACGUCCUUGGUUCGAUCCCCGGUUCCGGCA